GACGGGAGAGGAAGCCCAGGCUAGGAGGAGCUGAGGCAGCGGCAGUGGCCAGGAUGGGGACAGCCACUGGGAUGGAUGAGCGGGCACCACCUCCUCUUUGCAAAAUCCCCUUCAUGUGGAAGUGGGCACGUAACCAUUUUCAUCAGCAAUUCAUUACUUCUCCCCUUGGGAGGAGGCGAUCAGGCGAUGGAUUUCUACUGUUGAGACAGAGAUGGCUUUAGGGCAGAUGCAGAUUCAUUCUCCAUCUCACACAGAGAGAAUCCAAUCGAUCUUGGACACUUUGGGGCAGCUGUGCACAAAAGGCAAGGUCAGCCAGCACACGUGUACAAAGGCUGAUGCUUCAGGGAUGUACUGAAGGACAUGCACAGCACGCACACUUCACUGGAGCAGCACAAAACAAAGCUCAUCAGACCUACAGGUUUUGGCCUUGUCAGUGUCAGCAGGUCCAGUUUUUCACCUCGGCUCUAGUAGCAGAAGUGGGCGGGCAGCAGGAGAAAUGAGGUCCUGCAUCUUCUUUCAGCCGUCUGAUACCCAGCCAAUGCACAAGACUCUGAGCAAUCCUGUUGGGCGCAAGGAAAUUAUUCACGUUAUGUAGGUGUUCUCCUGUGUGUGUGGAAAACGUCUUUUUCCCCUUUUGCAGCAAAAUAGGAGAAAUAUCCCAGCUUCGCAAGCCCUAAAUCCAGGCCCUCUCUUGCAGCAGCAGUUCCGAGACCUGACCACACGGUGGCGCUCCAAGCUUAGAAAUGGAGCCUGGCCAGGGGCGACCCUGCACAGCCCCCGGGGACAGCACCGGGACACACGGCC